rnacentral:lncRNA from 1 species
GGGGGGGGGGGUAACUUCCUAUUAUUGGGUAUACGGGGAUGUGCCAAAAAUAUGGGUCAUAAUUUUGCGAGAUUUUAUAUAAAAAUGACCCUCCUUUUUAAUGACAUCCUAUAUUAAAAUGCAUUUACGUUUGAUAACUGUAUAUUGAUUUGGGGUAUGAUCUACAUAUCAUAUAUAAAUAUGCUAUUGAUAUGCACCAAACUAUGUCAAUUCAUAUAUAAAAACUUAAGGGUAGCUGGUAUAUUUAUGAAUUAUGAGUGAUGAUGAGUUAGUGCUUAUAUAAGCAUGGGUCAUAUUUUAAAUAUUGUGUAUAAGUAUAGGUCAUUCUUUCUUAAAUAUUUAUAUAACUAUCGGUACUGAAUUUCAGUGAAUGUUAUAUUAAAAUGGGUACGUUUUUGAGGCAAAAAUGGCACACCCCUAC